CAAGAGUAUGGGGGUACCCAGCAUCCCCCUUACAAGGAAAAAAGAGGUGAGACCAAGGGAGAGAAGCAUUUUCUCCUCUCCAGGCUCUCCUUCCCAGGGUUGUUGGUCCCAUGACAGAUAUAACAGUUAAGGGCAGACAGGGCACAGUGGCUCACGCCUGUAAUCCCAGUACUUUGGGAGGCUGAGGCAGGCGGAUCACCU
rnacentral:lncRNA from 10 species